rnacentral:rRNA from 1 species
UACAGAGGGGGCUAGCGUUGUUCGGAAUUACUGGGCGUAAAGCGCGCGUAGGCGGAUCGCUAAGUCAGGGGUGAAAUCCUGGGGCUCAACCCCAGAACUGCCUUUGAUACUGGCGAUCUCGAGUUCGAGAGAGGUGAGUGGAAUUCCGAGUGUAGAGGUGAAAUUCGUAGAUAUUCGGAGGAACACCAGUGGCGAAGGCGGCUCACUGGCUCGAUACUGACGCUGAGGUGCGAAAGCGUGGGGAGCAAACAGG